rnacentral:rRNA from 1 species
UUAAGAAUCUUGCACAAUGGGGGCAACCCUGAUGCAGCGACGCCGCGUGAAUGAUGAAGGCCUUCGGGUUGUAAAGUUCGGUAAGCAGGGAAGAAUAAGCAACGGGUAAUAUUCGUUGUGAUGACGGUACCUGCCUAAAGCCCCGGCUAACUACGUGCCAGCAGCCGCGGUAAUACGUAUGGGGCAAGCGUUGUUCGGAAUUAUUGGGCGGAAAGGGCGUCUAGGCGGGGGAUUAAGUUAGAUGUGAAAGCCAUGGGCUCAACCCGGGAAUUGCAUCUAAGACUGGUUCGCUUGAGUUCGGGAGAGGAGAGCGGAAUUCCAGGUGUAGCGGUGAAAUGCGUAGAUAUCUGGAAGAACACCAGUGGCGAAGGCGGCUCUCUGGCCUAGGACUGACGCUGAAGCGCGAAAGCGUGGGGAGCGAACA